rnacentral:tmRNA from 1 species
GGGGCUGACCGGUUUUGACAGCAAAGAUCUUUGAACGUGUAAGCAUGCCGAGCGUUGGAUAAUUAGCUCGAUAAUCUGAAUAUUCAAAAUUCAAAUGGCAAUACACAGUAUGCCAUGGCUGCCUAAUCGGAGAUUAGCCAGUCAUUAGGGCCGCCGUGCAGGUUGACCUGUUACCAUGCGCCGCCGCCGACUCAAAAACAAACACAGGUUGCUGCCAUCGAAGGCUGUGACGAUGGCUUAAGACUCAUACAGCUAAGGAAUAGAUUGGUAGGUUCAGGUCCUGUUUAUUCCCGACAACGAAUCAUGAAAUAAGCAUGUAGAAAGCGUUUGGCGAUUUUGUUUGGACCAGGGUUCGACUCCCUGCAGCUCCACCU